rnacentral:rRNA from 1 species
GUCUAUAUACUCUUGUUGCUUUGGCAGGCCGUGGCCUUCCACCGUGGGCUCUGCCUGCGCGUGCCUGCCAGAGGACCAAACUCUGAAUUUUAGUGAUGUCUGAGUACUAUAUAAUAGUUAAAACUUUCAACAACGGAUCUCUUGGUUCUGGCAUCGAUGAAGAACGCAGCGAAAUGCGAUAAGUAAUGUGAAUUGCAGAAUUCAGUGAAUCAUCGAAUCUUUGAACGCACAUUGCGCCCGGUGGCAUUCCGCCGGGCAUGCCUGUUCGAGCGUCAUUAUAACCACUCAAGCCUGGCUUGGUGUUGGGGUUCGCGGUACCCGCGGCUCCUAAAACCAGUGGCGGUGCCGGUGGGCUCUAAGCGUAGUAAAUCUCCUCGCUAUAGGGUUCCCCCGGUGGCUUGCCAAAACCCCCAAUUUUUACAGGUUGACCUCGGAUCAGGUAGGGAUACCCGCUGAACUUAAGCAUAC